CACAUGAUGCCCGGGAUAAUACUGAGACUCUGAACCUCAAGAACAUCGAGGAUUGAGAAGGCAUCAGUGGUUACUUCCCCACCAUUUCUGGAAAACAGGGAGAAAGGGGAUUUGAGUUAUAAGCAAAUGCCCUCCAGGGUAAUGAGUUCUCAGUCUGCGCUGGGUCCUCUCUUUGACAGUUGCUGAUAUGAUGAUACCCAUGUGUGUAUAUGAGACCACCAGGGCUGAUCUUCCCAAUUCAUACUACGUUGUAUUCCAGUGGCACCCCCAUGAUUUAAAACACCACUGUCCUAAGAGCCUUCAUACACUGACGAUGUGGAGGUUCUUCCAAGGAUGUCUCAUCAGAAUUCAGAGAGGUUGCCUUUGCUGUUUGUUCCAGGAAGAUCCGCAGAGUUAUUGCAGAGUCAGCUCGUAAAGUAUGCAUGAACCCUCUCCAAACUGAUGUUUUCACCCAAGAACUAAACCACUUCACUGCGGGUAUCUAUAAAUAAAAAGGAAAGAUUUCCAAUCAUAUAUUUGAUUGUACUGAGGGUAUACAUCUGCAUUUCUUGUGGGAUUUGUUUAAAAGAUAUUAAAAGAAAAACUUACUUAUGCAGGUAAGUAAAAAAAUCUCCAAACAGGCAUUUGGCCUAGUGGUUAAGACAACCAGUUAGGGGCCAGUGAUGUGGCACAGGGGAUUAGGCCACUGCUCGCAGUGUCAGCAUCCCAUGUAGGUGCCAGUUACUGUUCUGGCUGCUCCACUUCUGUUUCAGUUUCCUGCUGGUGUGCCUGAGAAAGCAGCAGAGAUUGGAGACUUGGAAGAGACUCUUGGCUCCUGGCUUUGACCUAGCCCAGCCCCAGCCUUUGUGGC